rnacentral:rRNA from 1 species
GACGAACGCUGGCGGCGUGCUUAACACAUGCAAGUCGAACGGAAAGGCCCUGCUUUUGUGGGGUGCUCGAGUGGCGAACGGGUGAGUAACACGUGAGUAACCUGCCCUUGACUUUGGGAUAACUUCAGGAAACUGGGGCUAAUACCGGAUAGGAGCUCCUGCUGCAUGGUGGGGGUUGGAAAGUUUCGGCGGUUGGGGAUGGACUCGCGGUUUAUGAGCUUGUUGGUGGGGUAGUGGCUUACCAAGGCUUUGCCGGGUAGCCGGCCUGAGAGGGUGACCGGCCACAUUGGGACUGAGAUACGGCCCAGACUCCUACGGGAGGCAGCAGUGGGGAAUAUUGCACAAUGGGCGGAAGCCUGAUGCAGCAACGCCGCGUGCGGGAUGACGGCCUUCGGGUUGUAAACCGCUUUCGCCUGUGACGAAGCGUGAGUGACGGUAAUGGGUAAAGAAGCACCGGCUAACUACGUG